GACGAACGCUGGCGGCGUGCUUAACACAUGCAAGUCGAACGGAAAGGCCCUUCUUUUGUGGGUUGCUCGAGUGGCGAACGGGUGAGUAACACGUAAGUAACCUGCCCUUGACUUUGGGAUAACUUCAGGAAACUGGAGCUAAUACCGGAUAUGAGCUCCUGCUGCAUGGUGGGGGUUGGAAAGUUUCGGCGGUUGGGGAUGGACUCGCGGCUUAUCAGCUUGUUGGUGGGGUAGUGGCUUACCAAGGCUUUGACGGGUAGCCGGCCUGAGAGGGUGACCGGCAACAUGGGGACUGAGAUACGGCCCAGACUCUUAGGGGAGGCAGAAGUGGGGAAUAUUGAACAAUGGGCGGAAGCCUGAUGCAGCAACGCCGCGUGCGGGAUGACGGCCUUCGGGUUGUAAACCGCUUUCGCAUGUGACGAAGCGUGAGUGACGGUAAUGGGUAAAGAAGCACCGGCUAACUACGUG
rnacentral:rRNA from 1 species